rnacentral:lncRNA from 1 species
UUUUGUAGCAGAAAAGAACAUAGGACCAAAAAAGUCAAGGGACUUGUCCAUGAUAAAGCAGUUGGUUGCACACUGAGCUGAUCUGCUGCCCAUGAAUCUAGACACACUUGGCUGAAAACUCUGUAGAUUGUUUUUUCAAUUUCAUCCUGUUAAUAUUCCCAUGGGAAAGCUAAUGGAUAUAUAAUCCCUUUAAGUGAUAAAUAAUGUUCUCCUGUUUACGUGUCAGGGGAAAUUAGAGCAGGAACUCAUAACUUGCUUCCUGUCCCCCAUCUUGUGCUUCCAAACCCUUAGUUCAGGCUGAGGUUUGCUGUAAAAUCUGUGUGUUCAAUGGAUGGAUUUCCAGCUUGAAGGACUUUUGCCUUUGAUCACCGUUGAAACAAAUGAAGAGAUGGAUAUGGCAUUAAGAAUUGUGACCCGAGGUGCAGUUUUACCUUGUGAAGUGGGAAUAACCAAAUGGAAGCAGGAUGAGUUCGGAAUCCAAGGAGUUUGGGUCUGGUAAGUGAGCCAUGAUGCUGCAGUUCUCCGGGUUGUAUUGUGUCUGUCUGAUUUGAUAGAGGGCCCUGUAGAAGCUGAGGCUGAGGCUACUAGAAGCUCCAGGCCCAGCAGAGAUGUGAAGACAGGUGAAAACCGGGGGAUUAGGUGACUUCCUAGUUCCACAAUUG